GAUGAACGCUAGCGGCAGGCCUAAUACAUGCAAGUCAAGGGGAUAGCAAUAUCACCGGCGGACGGGUGCGUAACGCGUACACAACGUGCCCAAGGGCGGAGGAAAGCGGCGGGAAACUGCCGGUAAUACUCCAUGGUGUUGUUGAGUGGCAUCACUUAACAACUAAAGUGCAAGCGCCCUUGGAUCGGUGUGCGUUCGAUUAGCUAGUUGGCGGGGUAACGCCCACCAAGGCUUCGAUCGAUAGGGGGUNUGAGAGCAUGACCCCCCCANACGGGUACUGAGACACGGACCCGACUCCUACGGGAGGCAGCAGUAAGGAAUAUUGGACAAUGGGCGGGAAGCCUGAU
rnacentral:rRNA from 1 species